rnacentral:rRNA from 1 species
AGCUCCAAUAGCGAAUAUUAAAAUUGUUGCGGUUAAAAAAUUCGUAGUUGGAUUUCUGCCGAGGACGACCGGUCCGCCUUCUGGGUGAGUAUCUGGCUCGGCCUGGGCAUCUUCUUGGAGAACGUUACUGCACUUGACUGUGUGGUGCGGUAUCCAAGACUUUUACUUUGAGGAAAUUAGAGUGUUUCAAGCAGGCACACGCCUUGAAUACAUUAGCAUGGAAUAAUAAGAUAGGACUUCGGUUCUAUUUUGUUGGUUUCUAAAGCUGAAAUAAUGAUUAAUAGGGAUACUUGGGGCCAUUCGUAUUUAAUUGUCAGAGAUGAAAUUCUUGAAUUUGUUAAAGACGGACUACUGCGAAAGCAUUUGCCAAGGAUGUUUUCA